rnacentral:rRNA from 1 species
UCCCUAUGGGGUGCAGCAGUUAGGAAUAAUCUACAAUGCACGCAAGUGUGAUAGUUUGAGCCAGUAGUGCCUUACAAAUGUAAGGCUUUUGUGAAAUGUAAAUAGUUUCACGAAUAAGGACUGGGUAAGACUAGUGCCAGCCGCCGCGGUAAUACUAGCGGUCCAAGUCGCAGCCAUUUUUAUUGGGUCUAAAACAUCCGUAGCUUGCUUGACAAGUUUCUUGUGAAAUUUUACGUCUCAAACGUGAACCGUGCAAGAAGUACUAUCAAGCUAGAGACUGGAAGACGUAAGAAGUACGUUCGAAGUAACGGUAAAAUGUGUUAAUCUCGAGCGGACUCACAAUAGCGAAGGCAUCUUACGAGGACAGUUCUGACAGUAAGGGAUGAAGGCUAGGGGCGCAAAACGGAUUAGAUACCCGUGUAGUCCUAGCAGUAAACACUGCACACUAAACAUCAGUACCUCCUCGAGAGGUAUUGGUGCUGUAGGGAAGCCGUAGAGUGUGCUACCUGGGAAGUAUAGUCGCAAGGCCGAAACUUAAAGGAAUUGGCGGGGAGACACUACAACAGGUGACGCGUGCGGUUCAAUUAGAUUAUACACCGUGAACCUCACCAGGAGCGACAGCAGAAUGAAGGUCAGUCUGAAGGGCUUACCUGACACGCUGAGAGGUAGUGCAUGG